rnacentral:rRNA from 1 species
CUAAGUUUGAUGGCGACCGGCGCACGGGUGAGUAACACGUAUCCAACCUGCCGAUGACUCGGGGGAUAGCCUUUCGAAAGAAAGAUUAAUACCCGAUGGCAUAGUUCUUCCGCAUGGUGGAACUAUUAAAGAAUUUCGGUCAUCGAUGGGGAUGCGUUCCAUUAGGUUGUUGGCGGGGUAACGGCCCACCAAGCCUUCGAUGGAUAGGGGGUUCUGAGAGGAAGGUCCCCCACAUUGGAACUGAGACACGGUCCAAACUCCUACGGGAGGCAGCAUG